UUGUUGGUUUUUUCUUGAGCCCAAGGUAAUGACUAAUAGGGACAGUCGGGGGCAUAUGUAUUGCGACGCUAGAGGUGAAAUUCUUGGAUCGUCGCAAGACAAACAACUGCGAAAGCAUUUGCCAAGGAUGUUUUCAUUAAUCAAGAACGAAAGUUAGAGGUUCGAAGGCGAUCAGAUACCGCCCUAGUUCUAACCAUAAACGAUGCUGACCAGCAAUCCGUCGGAGUUAUAACCACGAUCCGAACGGGCGACUUCCGGGAAACCAAAGUCUUUGAGUUCCGGGGGAAGUAUGGUUGCAAAGCUGAAACUUAAAGGAAUUGACGGAAGGGCACCACCAGGAGUGGAGCCUGCGGCUUAAUUUGACUCAACACGGGGAACCUCACCAGGCCCAGACACUGGAAGGAUUGACAGAAUGAGAGCUCUUUCUCGAUUCAGUGGGUGGUGGUGCAUGGCCGUUCUUAGUUGGUGGAG
rnacentral:rRNA from 1 species